rnacentral:misc_RNA from 1 species
GAUGAAGAACUUAGCGAAAUGCGAUAAGUAAUGUGAAUUGCAGAAUUCAGUGAAUCAUCGAAUCUUUGAACGCACAUUGCGCCCCUUGGUAUUCCGGGGGGCAUGCCUGUUCGAGCGUCAUUUCAACCCUCAAGCUCUGCUUGGUAUUGGGCUCCGUCCUCCUCGGACGCGCCUCAAAGACCUCGGCGGUGGCGUCUUGCCUCAAGCGUAGUAGAAACACCUCGCUUUGGAGUGCAUGGCGUCGCCCGCCGGACGAAACCUUUUGUAUUUUCUCAAGGUUGACCUCGGAUCAGGUAGGGAUACCCGCUGAACUUAAGCAUAUCAAUAAGCGGAGGA